ACUCCUACGGGAGGCAGCAGUAGGGAAUCUUCCGCAAUGGACGAAAGUCUGACGGAGCAACGCCGCGUGAACGAUGAAGGCUUUCGGGUCGUAAAGUUCUGUUGUUAGGGAAGAACAAGUACCGGAGUAACUGCCGGUACCUCGACGGUACCUAACCAGAAAGCCACGGCUAACUACGUGCCAGCAGCCGCGGUAAUACGUAGGUGGCAAGCGUUGUCCGGAAUUAUUGGGCGUAAAGCGCGCGCAGGCGGUUCCUUAAGUCUGAUGUGAAAGCCCCCCGGCUCAACCGGGGAGGGUCAUUGGAAACUGGGGAACUUGAGUGCAGAAGAGGAGAGCGGAAUUCCACGUGUAGCGGUGAAAUGCGUAGAGAUGUGGAGGAACACCGGUGGCGAAGGCGGCCCCCCUGGACAGAUACUGACACUCAGAUGCGAAAGCGUGGGGAGCAAACAGGAUUAGAUACCCUGGUAGCGACUGA
rnacentral:rRNA from 1 species